CUUCUUGCUGUGCAGCAACUGUGCUAGCCACCGUGCCACCGUGCUGCCCUUCAGAAACAUUCCUGACAAAUUUUGCAGACUUGUCGGUUUACGUCCAUGAUAUAAAUCUUGUUUUCUACCACAUCCCAAAGGUGGACUGAGACCGGAUCACUGCGAAGGCCAGUUGCAUUCAGCGAAGUCAUUGUCAUGCUUGAGAAACCAGUUUAAGGUAAUUUGAGGUUUGUGACAUGGUACCUUAUGUCAGGAUAACACUGUGGUGUAAAGGACACUGUAAGCGAUGCUCAUUUAAACUGUGGCAUUUAAACGAUGCUCACGGGGUCAAUUUGAUGGCAACUUAUCAACGAUGAGGUAGCCAUCAUGGGGUAGCCAAGCUGAUUUUACUCUAAAAGGAAACAUAAUUUACAAAAUGACUAUCAUGCUAUUUUUUAUUAUGAGAUCAUGAAAACAAAAAUGUGUUACAAACAUGAAAAGCCAACAUUUUUUGUCAUUUUUGUCACUGAUUUCUACACAAAUAUACUUGUUUUUGCAUGCAGAGGAAAAUUGGUCAACAAAGACUUCAGCAUUAGAUAUACUCAGUUUGUAGGGCCAACCCUUCAGGCCGUGUCACAAGCAUGGCUAAAAAUAAAUAUCCAUGCAUCCAUCCUCUUCCAUUUAUCCAAUUGGAGGGUCUGUAGCCUAUCACAGGUACCAUAGGUCGAGAGGCAGGGUACACCCUGGACAGGUCACCAGUCUGUCGUAGAGCCAACACAUAGAAGCAGACAACCAUUCUCACUCACAUUCAUAUCUGCGGGCAAUUUAGAUUAACUAAUUAACCUAACCUCACUAACUGCAUGUGCUGCAACAGUGCUAACCAUUGCACCAGCGUGCUGCCAUACUGUCUUUAGCAAUACCUAAACACGGUUUUCAGUCAAGUAAAAAGCAACUACAGAUAACUGUCAUUACUGGAUGGUAUUGUUUCCUUCGAUUCCCAAAUAUCUCCAUCGACAAGUGGACACAUUACUGUGUUAUUAUCUUAUUUAAAGGAGCUUGAAGAGAAAUAAGAGACCGAGCGUUUAUGCCACUCUGCAUAAAGAGGCUCUUAUAUGUACAGAGGAGGAUUAUGGGAAUUCGACCAACACAGAGACACACUUCCGUUGUCCAGCAACAAUGGCGCUGUGUGAAAGUCAAAUGCUGAUUGAUUAACAAGCCGAGUCAGCAAACCAAGGAUGCCGAGCAAAGACAGUGACCGCACUGGUUAUUGUGGUGAUGUUUAAUUUGUAAUAGAGUGCGUCCAGUUAGCUUUAUGACAAAGAAAUUCUUUGUAUAUUAUGACCUCGUCUCCUCCAAGGUAGGGGCUAAACUUAAAGGUCCAAAACCAGUACAUGCAGGUAUGUAAAUCAGCUUAAUGUGAAGAUGUGUUAUUACAAUUUAAUUACAAUAAUUAAUUAUUUUCUUCAGUAAAAUGUGUAUAUUAUCAUGACAUGGUAUGUGUACAGCAUGCAGAGAGGGAAACUAAAGAUGCUGAGAAUUUGAAUAACACCUUUAAAGUGCAACAGGAAAUGCAGUGAGCAGAGAUUUUGUUGCCCCAGUUCCUGUUGAUUCUGUCACACAGUGAACAAAUUAGCCUCUCAUAGCAUCUUAACUGCUCUUUAAUCAAGUAAAGUCUUUGCCUCUCUGUCUUUGUUUGCUGAGCAUGGUUCCACGCCCUCCCUCGCCGCCUCACUGGCUGCAGCUCAGUAAAUGGCUGGUAGGAGGGGAAGAUUUUUUUCAGAGGGGUACUGAAGGCACGGCCAGGGUGGGAGGGCAAAGCUGGACAGUGACAGAGGGAGAGAGAGGGGUCUAUGUAUUCAGGCUUUUGGCCCUCAGCCCGUCUCAAGUGCGUCCUGAGGGGAACAUCCUGCCCCUCGUUGGAACUUCCUCGGCCUGCUGAAGUGGCCCAUUCAUGGAGGUCUUGUGAGGGGGGCUUGUUUUUGCUGCUAAAUGGAUGUUUCUGUUUCAGAGGUGUUUGUGCUACUGGACGCUUUCCACUCCACGCCAUCCCCCAGACACACACACUUACGCACACACCCUCUACCCCCACUUUUCUCCUCCUCCUCCUGUUGACUUCCCAUUUCCCCUUCUUCUCCUUCUCCUUUUCCCUUCGGUUUCUCCUCCCUGCUCUCAGCUAACUACAGUCUCAGCUGCAGUUCAUCAAACUUACACUCCCACUUUAGGCUCCUGUUAGACCUUUAAUCCACCUCUCAGCACAGGAGGAGCUGGAGUCGAGGAGGGGUAACUGCAAAGCAGAUAUAAAGGGAUGGAUACUUGUUUCACUUCUCUAAAGCAGAAGUGGUUUCCUAUUUCAAAGGAGGCAGAAAGUUACCCGACAUCAGGGCAAUCUACCAUGGUGACAAACCCUUGAAACUUUUCAAGAAUUUGAGGGAAGUGCGCCUCGGGAUUGUUGGUUCACUGCCAUGGAAACUGCUGACAUUGUGAAUGUGUCACUUGGUUGAUUCUUUGUGCCGUGGCUCCUGACUUCAAAGGAACAGCAGCGUCAUCAGGCACGGGGAUGCCCCAACCUUGAUUUCGAGCAUCAUCACUGGUGUUACGAGUUGGUUGUACAGCUAUGACACAGCUACCAAACUGAAAUCUUCACAUUAAAAGAGCCCAUAGUCUCUGAGGAAAAAGAAGGCGCACUAGUUAGGAAGGCGACAAACACAUGAAUUUGUACUCGAGGGUCAGUUUAUCAAACCAGAGUUCUACUGUUGCAACAAACGCGCUCGUAAAAAUGCACUGAGUGGCAGCGCAUUAAAAACACGGAUUUUUCCAAAACAAAAACACACAAUCAUGCUCUCCGUCAGCUGAGAUUUAGCUUUUCAUCUUCCUCAGAAGAAGAAGCUGGAACCAUCUUUCUCUAAAACUUUGCAUUAAAAAAGGACCCUGCAGACUAUUAGACAAUUCUGCACACAGCUGUUUUUCUGGCAACACAUAAAACCAGUUUCAUUAUGAUGGAUUCCAGAUGUUAGAAAAUGUUGAAAAGUUUAUGUUGUCAAAAAUUUCAAUAGAAUCGUCCUUUCAACAACUAGAGCAGUCAUGAGGCAGGUCUUUGCAGUGCAUGUCAAUGCUCAUUUAAAUACCCAGGGUUGUCAAUGAGCCCUCACAAAUUUGCAAAGCUGAAGUUGAAGCUACCACCUUGAAGGAUUAAUUAAAGCCUUGGCGUAGGCCCAGAGUAGCUUCUAGCCCCCAUCUUGAGACUGGAUCUGUUUAAUCCAGAACAGGCUAAAUCUAGAGCUAUUUUAAGACAAGUCUUUGCAACUAGGUUUGAACCUUGCCUGUGAAACCUUCCCAAAAAGAGAUUAAUCACUGCACAGAAAAUAUUCAAUACGACAGUCAGAUUAGUUCACUUGCCUCAAGAUUUGAAGGAGACCACUGGGAGUCUCUAAAAGACACAUGAAUGAAAAUAGCAUAAUAAGUCAUGCAGUUACAAUGUUACAGUGGCUAGCUACAGCAUGAUUAAUGCCUUUCACGUAAAUUAGCUCUGAUAACUAAUAUUUAACAAACGUGAAAUGAGUACAGCAGCAGAACUUUUGUAUUUUUGUCCCUAAAUAAUGAAACCCAGGGAGACCAGGAGGAAAGUUUUCUGGAAGAUUCUCAGACCUCCUGACAGGCCAAACUGAGAGGCCUCGCCCGUGCUGAAAAGCUUGGCCAUUUUUAUCGCUGUCUGGCUUCAUGUGCUGCCAAAAAGUUCUUUAAUUGUUUCCCAUUCAGUCAAAGCCACAAAGCUUCACAAAGCGUUCCAGUAUAUACAAACUGUGGGUCUUUUUUUUUCCUUUUUUUUUUGCAGGCAACUGAAAAUAAUUGCACGUUUCAGGCUGGCUUUGAAAACGCAGCCUUAUGUGUUUCGCACAGUUUGACUGUGAGUCAACAUUGGGAGGAAAAUCAAAGAUGUCUGCGGAGCAGAGGGACUGUUUGUCUCAUCAUGAGGUCUCAGUGUCUGUUACAUACGCUGUGUGCCUGUGACAUGAGCAUAAUGUACAUGUUUCUGCAAAAGUUUUUGAAUUGUGUGUGUGCGUUUAUCUGUGUGCAUCCAAGUCUGAAACACUACAUGCGUGUGGGAGACUGUAAGAAUGACAGUUUGUUUUGUGAGUGUGCGACUGAGUUCCUGAAACUGGACCUUGGUAUGUUGUCACUGUAAGUGUGCCAAAUCAGCGAUUAACUGCGCUCCCUCUGAGACAAGCGUGUAGCUGAGUGACAUUUUGAAACAGGUGUGUGUAAAACAAUCCGGUUUUCAGCACUCCUUGGAGAACUGCUGUCCCACUGAAAAGCAGGAAUAGACUUGAUGAUAGUUUAGGGACCAACAUAGGUUUGUCUUCGCUUAGCUAGAUGCCCUUCUAAAAGCUGGCUUCUAGAGUGGCGGGCGCAGAAGCAACAAUUGGUUAAAGAGGAGAGAAGCUAUCAGAGCUCCGCCCACAGUGCUUGAGGGACAGGUGAUAAUGAGGUAAGGACACACAGCCUGAACUUGGCUCAUUGUAAACCGGGGUGAAUGGAUGGCUGGAAGGGUUUUUUUGUUUUUGGAGUGCACAAACAUUUGUGUUGGCAUGUGUGUUGAUCUGCCAGUGCAAAAUUACCGAUCAUGAUUCUGAAAUUGCAUUGACCGCAUUGUUUGAACUGUGGAGAACUGUUUUGUAUUUUAUGUCAUACAUUAUGUUUAUAUGACGAAGUAUAAAGAGAGGCUCUCAGUCUUACCACAGACAAAGUGUGUCAUCAUUAGGACAAAAGAACAUGUUGUACGUCUCCAAAACUCUUGGUGGAUAUGUACUAACCAGUGCUUUGUUUAAAAUGGAUUAACUAUUCAAGUCAAUUCAGUUUUAUUUAUAGA